ensembl:lncRNA
GGUCGUCAGCUGCGAGGUUUUAGAGGCUUAUUUAAUAAAAGUUCCAAGUCCUCAGUGGACACACAUAUUGGAGUUCCACCUCGUAAGCGAUCCAUAACCGACCACCUCCUUCGGAGGACUGCCAGUGCCCCUGCUAAGGGCCGCAAAAAGAUAAAGAUGCCACUGACUGAAGCUACAAGUGACAGAAAGCACAGCACUGGGGACCCUCAAACCACUUGUGUAGAGAGGAGAGCAGGAAACAGAAAAGCCCUCCAACACCGCCCAGCAUCCAUGCCCCUGGAUAAGCUCCUACAUAGUCACCUCAGCCUGUCCACCCCAGAUCGGGAGAGCCCUGAUCCUGGAGCUGACACAGUCAUUGAUUCCUUCCUCAGUGAGAAACCCAGAUCUAUCUCAGUUGAUCUCCUCUUUGAAACUUCUGCCUUCAAAGAACCUGAUGUCCAUGCCCUUUCAGCUGACCACAUUCAAGACUGUAAUAUUGAGCCCAAAGAUACAAAAGAAACUCCUUACCUGGUCAUUGAGGGCAGUAGGGAAAGUUUGGGUAAUCCUAACCAGGAACACUCAAGAGGUGGUCUCACCCAGACCGAAGCUGAUAAAUUAUGUUCUUCCAAAGGGCCAGCAGACCACUUGUCAGGUCCUACAGAUCAAUGUAAUGGUGGCAGUAGCUCACUUAGUGAAGUAAGUCAUAGAGAAUUAAGCCAGUUGGAAGCCCCUAAACAGAACAUUCUAACAGCCAAGGCAGCCACGUAUUCCUUGGCUUCCUCUUCUUCCUUAUCUUCAGGAACCAUCACCAAAUUCUCUCCUAGAAUGACUCUGCCAGACCAGAAGAGUCAAGUGUCCCUCCAGGACAGUGCUCUCUCUCGCCUUAUUGACGCCGUCUCACUAGAGAACGAGUAUGACACCUGUGGGUCCAUAUCUGCUCUGAUUGGCCAAUUUGAGCUCACUGCUGAGCAGAGCUCCCUAAUUCCAUUCAACUCACAACCCAUGAAAAAUUAUAUUCCUCCAUCUGACCUUCCUCAUCUCAACAGUGAGCUUUCCAGCACACCACUAAAAGUUAUCCAAAAAUCUGUGUGCAUAACCUCAGAGCUAACCGAGAGACCUUCUAGUCCUGAAACGACUGAACCUGCAGUCUUUACCAUCUUGGAUGAGGAGGUGCUUUCUCCUGUACCUACAAAGAGCCUUUGUCAAACCAACUUUCACAAUGACUUGGUUGGUUCUCCUGUGGUCAGCAAGAGAUCCUCACCCAACAAGAUGGCUUUAGAAUGGUCUGCACGUGGAAAUCUAAAGCAAAACUAUAGCAGCGAAUGCCAUUCCACUGGUUCCUUUAGAAACUUUGAAUUUGGAGGAUACGGAGAAACCUCAAUCAAUAGCACCCCCUCAGACCGCUUCUUGCUGUGCCAAGACUCUGCAAGCAGCAGUCUGAUGGAGGUGGAGAUCAAUGUAGACGGGGAUUCCUUAGACAACACACCGACCCCUUUGAGUCCCUUUCACGGGUUCAAAAGUGUUCACAGCUUAAACCAGACUUCCCCCUAUCAUGUACAAAGACUUAAACCAACCCAUCUCCACAAACCCUCAUACAAUCCCUCUCCUGUUCACUCAUACUCCACAGACACAUCACUCUUUCACAGACACUACCAAUCUCCACACCAAAGUCUGAACUCUAGCACCUACCUUACUAACAAAUUGCAGCGAAGGAAGUUUAACUGUUAUAAUGACUCUGGGAGAUUUACACUUGGUGACCACAGAAUAGAUGACACAGAGGGAAGACUAGGAAAACCCCCGCAGGU